GACGAACGCUGGCGGCGUGCUUAACACAUGCAAGUCGAACGGAAAGGCCCUGCUUUUGUGGGGUGCUCGAGUGGCGAACGGGUGAGUAACACGUGAGUAACCUGCCCUUGACUUUGGGAUAACUUCAGGAAACUGGGGCUAAUACCGGAUAGGAGCUCCUGCUGCAUGGUGGGGGUUGGAAAGGUUCGGCGGUUGGGGAUGGACUCGCGGCUUAUCAGCUUGUUGGUGGGGUAGUGGCUUACCAAGGCUUUGACGGGUAGCCGGCCUGGGAGGGUGACCGGCCACAUUGGGACUGAGAUACGGCCCAGACUCCUACGGGAGGCAGCAGUGGGGAAUAUUGCACAAUGGGCGGAAGCCUGAUGCAGCAACGCCGCGUGCGGGAUGACGGCCUUCGGGUUGUAAACCGCUUUCGCCUGUGACGAAGCGUGAGUGACGGUAAUGGGUAAAGAAGCACCGGCUAACUACGUG
rnacentral:rRNA from 1 species